AAUGCCAGCCAGCACUGUAGACAUAGGGUGGGAGGAUCAAAAAGUCAUAGCCAUCCAUUGCUACAUAAGAGAGACCCUGCCUCAAAAACAAAUGUGGAUAUGUGUGGAUAUGCUUUCUCUUCUGCCUGUGUGCUGGGUUUUCUGCUUGGUUUACAACUGAAAUAUAUCCUUGAGCUAUAUGGUCUUGGCUUUUGAAACAGGGUCUCAUUAUGCACUUGAGGCUAGCCUUUCACUUGCUGGGAUCAGACAUGUUACCAUCAUGCUGGGCUUGGUUUGGUGUAUUGUAAUUUUAUACUUGUAUAUGCAUGUGCCACAGUGCACGUACAAGGGUUAGAUGACAGCUUUUGUGGAGUCACUUCUCUCCUUCUACCUUUAUGUGAAUUCCAGAGAUUGAGCCUAGGUUCAGGCAUGUAGGCAAAUGCCUUUACUCCUUGAGUCAUCUUACUGGCUGCUUUUAUUUUUUUUAAAGCCUGAUCCUCAGGACACAAUGGGCAGACAGUUCCUAUUUGAUGUUGAGACUGGUUGCCACUGGCAUACACAGAAAGAUGCUUUGUCUUAAUAAGGGCCAUCCAGGUACAUUGAGUGAUAGUUUCAAAUAAAUUUCCAGACAUAAUGUUUUGUUUUUGCACAUUAAACUUAGAGCAUGCACCUGUGCACAGCAAGAACUAAAGUAAGACCUGGCUAUGCAGGUUAGUGAUAUAGUAGUACUUGUGUAGUAUUCACAGGGUUGCAUCCAUUCCCUGCCUUCCCAUUACCCCUUGCUUAAGUAGAUGGAAUGAAUGAUAACAAGAAAAGUUAUCAUUUAGAAGGGGACAUGCAAUAGAGGAAAGUUUGCAUGUCCACUCCGGACCUCGUUACUUCUGUAAGGCAGGUAAUACUCUCAUCUUAAGAAAAAAAUCCCAGUGUUGGCUCUCUUAAGAGCUGUUAUGCAGUAGGGCAUUGGUGACGCACGCCUUUAAUCCCAGCACUCGGGAGGCAAAACCCCAAAAAAAGAGCUGUUAUGCAAACAGAAUAUAUUGAUUUAAAAAUGUUUGUUUCAGGGGAGACACCUGUUAAAAUUUGCUCAUGUUUGUAGUAUAAUUGCCCCAUGUCCCCGGAUUCUGUGUUCUCAUUAUCUAACCACAGUUUGAAUAUUAUUCUAUGGUAAACAAGUAGCCUUUUAUUGACAUCAUUUCCUAUAGACAGCUGGACAAAUAGUUACAGGACAGUUGGGUGACUUAUGUACCAUUGGAUUUUGGUUUUCAGGAGGUUUUGGGCUGUCCUUGAAUCAGUGAUGAUAUCAGAACUUUUAUUUAAACUGUUUUUCCUCUUAAAUAGUCUGGGUCCACUUGAGCUAGAAACCAGUGCAGAGCAGCACACUGGAGACCGAUAAAAGAAACCCAUCCCUCUUUUGCUCAACCACUGGGCACUUUCUACUGGUAAACUCCUAGAUGGCACAGGUGCUCUAGCUCCAGUGAGUUGGAACCAGUUGAUAACAGGUACUUUUAGAUACAAAUACUGAUUUUAUAACUUUUUCAUAGGCUCUUGAAAUGGACCCAUCAAAUACUAAAGCACUAUACCGAAAAGCACAAGGAUGGCAAGGAUUAAAAGAAUAUGAUCAAGCACUGGCUGAUCUUAAGAAAGCGCAGGAGAUAGCCCCAGGAGAUAAAGCUAUCCAGGCAGAAUUGCUUAAAGUGAAACAAAUGAUAAAGGCACAGAAAGAUAAAGAGAAGGCGGUAUAUGCAAAAAUGUUUGCUUAAAGAGAAUUAAAUUCUGCUUAAAUUUUACACAUUGAUUAUAUAAAGGAUAAUGUAAGUUACUGUCUACAUAUGAUAUGUUUCCCUUGAUUCAUUGUCAUCAUUGUUUACAUAGAAGUACUGACAUAGGUUUCUUAAUAAAGUGUUAUGAAAUGCUAUUAA